rnacentral:rRNA from 1 species
UACGUAGGGGGCAAGCGUUGUCCGGAUUUAUUGGGCGUAAAGAGCGUGUAGGCGGCUAGGUAGGUCCGUUGUGAAAACUCGAGGCUCAACCUCGAGACGCCGAUGGAAACCAUCUGGCUAGAGUCCGGAAGAGGAGAGUGGAAUUCCUGGUGUAGCGGUGAAAUGCGCAGAUAUCAGGAGGAACACCCGUGGCGAAAGCGGCUCUCUGGGACGGUACUGACGCUGAGACGCGAAAGCGUGGGGAGCAAACAGG